CAGUCAAUACACUGCUGAUACCAGGAGUGGAAAUUUGGAAAUACUUAUCCAUUGAAUCCAUCCUGAAUGUUAGAUGAGAAGAUUGAUACAUUUCUCAUAAUUGUUUGCUAAAUAUAACACUAUAGCCUGCAGCCUAUUAGCUUAGUAUAAAGACUGGAAAGAAGGGGAAGCUAGCCUGGCUCUGACUGAAGUGAUUGCCAGGCUGGAUAUUCUGUGUUACAGCCACCGAGGAAACCAGUGAGGGAGACAUCAAUUCUGACAUGAUCGUGCACACUGUGUAAUGUACCUUCUGCUGUCUCGACACGUUUGGACUUUGAGUGUUUUUACAGCAUAACUGGACACAGACUCUCCACUAAGAUCUAUCAGCGGGGGAUGAAUAAAAGUCUGCCUGGGCCACAUCCAUCGGAGGAAGACUCCAGAUUACGGCUGUUGCCAGCAGGCUAAUUCACAACACAUGUGUUUGAGAGUUGAGAGGAGGAAGCCUGCGAGCUGGAGAGACAUAGACUAAUGUGGCUACUGCAUUUAAUCCUGCUUUAUUAAGUGAAGAUUAAACGUUCUUUAAAAUGUUACCACAAGUCAAGCAUCCUGAUUGAAUGGCAUGUGUGACACCGCGAGUUCACGCGAAGCUGGCUUCCAUCACCACACACUCAUCCUUCCUUUUGUCUUCAUUACUUGUCAUUUAUCUUUCCAGUGUAUUCACAUAAAGCAGAAAUAUCCAAAAAUGUCUGUAUUUUUUAUCCCCUCUUGAGACCUGUUUAAAGUUACAACUAUUCUCAUUAU